GAUGAACGCUAGCGGCAGGCUUAACACAUGCAAGUCGAGGGGUAUAGUAGCAAUACUAGAGACCGGCGCACGGGUGCGUAACGCGUAUGCAAUCUACCUUUUACAGAGGGAUAGCCCAGAGAAAUUUGGAUUAAUACCUCAUAGUAUAUUAGAGUGGCAUCACUUUAUUAUUAAAGUUCCAACGGUAAAAGAUGAGCAUGCGUCCUAUUAGCUAGAUGGUAAGGUAACGGCUUACCAUGGCUACGAUAGGUAGGGGUCCUGAGAGGGAGAUCCCCCACACUGGUACUGAGACACGGACCAGACUCCUACGGGAGGCAGCAGUGAGGAAUAUUGGACAAUGGGCGCAAGCCUGAUCCAGCCAUGCCGCGUGCAGGAAGAAGCAUCUAUGGUGUGUAAACUGCUUUUGUACAGGAAGAAACAUCCCGACGUGUCGGGACUUGACGGUACUGUAAGAAUAAGGAUCGGCUAACUCCGUGCCAGCAGCCGCGGUAAUACGGAGGAUCCAAGCGUUAUCCGGAAUCAUUGGGUUUAAAGGGUCCGUAGGCGGUUUGGUAAGUCAGUGGUGAAAGCCCAUCGCUUAACGAUGGAACGGCCAUUGAUACUGCCAGACUUGAAUUAUUGUGAAGUAACUAGAAUAUGUAGUGUAGCGGUGAAAUGCUUAGAUAUUACAUGGAAUACCAAUUGCGAAGGCAGGUUACUAACAAUAUAUUGACGCUGAUGGACGAAAGCGUGGGGAGCGAACAGGAUUAGAUACCCUGGUAGUCCACGCCGUAAACGAUGGAUACUAGCUGUUCGGAGCAAUCUGAGUGGCUAAGCGAAAGUGAUAAGUAUCCCACCUGGGGAGUACGUUCGCAAGAAUGAAACUC
rnacentral:rRNA from 1 species